rnacentral:rRNA from 1 species
UACGUAGGGUGCAAGCGUUGUCCGGAAUUAUUGGGCGUAAAGAGCUCGUAGGCGGUUUGUCGCGUCUGGUGUGAAAAUCCAGGGCUUAACCCUGGACCUGCAUCGGGUACGGGCAGACUAGAGUGCGGUAGGGGAGGUCGGAGUUCCUGGUGUAGCGGUGAAAUGCGCAGAUAUCAGGAGGAACACCGGUGGCGAAGGCGGAUCUCUGGGCCGUAACUGACGCUGAGGAGCGAAAGCAUGGGGAGCGAACAGG